rnacentral:rRNA from 1 species
UACGUAGGGUGCGAGCGUUAAUCGGAAUUACUGGGCGUAAAGCGUGCGCAGGCGGUUUUGUAAGCCAGAUGUGAAAUCCCCGGGCUUAACCUGGGAAUGGCAUUUGGGACUGCAAGGCUUGAGUUUGGCAGAGGAGACUGGAAUUCACGGUGUAGCAGUGAAAUGCGUAGAGAUCGUGAGGAAGACCAGUGGCGAAGGCGGAUCUCUGGACAGUUCCUGACGCUGAGGCGCGAAGGCCAGGGGAGCAAACGGG